UGUCUUGUAUGUUUUUUCCUUCUUCUUCUUCACUGCAUCUCCGCGAAAACCUAUUCCUCUUUGUAAAGGGGUAUGCUUUUGGGUGUGGAGUUUUGUUGGGUUGGUAUUUUAGGGUCUAGGAUUCUGUUUGAUUAUUUUUUUUUUUUUCAUUUGGAGUUGUGUUGGAAUAUGGGUCGUGGGUUUUCUCGACAAUUUUGGGUUCUGUUUGUGGUGCUGUUUGGGUGUGGAGUUUUCUUGGGUCGGUAUUUGUUGUGCCAGAGUACAUCUCCAUUGUGUUUCUGGGUUUAGUUGUUGGUAUUUAAAUUUUUAAGUGCUUAGAAGUUUUUUUUUUUUUUUUGUUAAGUGCUUAACUCAUGUCCUUUGUUUUCAGUUGGAGAAUGUUGGGAUGAAAAUUUUUGCAAUAGAAUCACUUGAUUUUGAUUCCGUCUAACUUAUUAUAUACUAUCUAUUACUGGAACUGCUAUGUAGGAAAUGAAUUCUUUAAGCAGCAGAAGUAUCCCGAGGCAUACAAAGAAAACCGAAAGAUCCUAGGAUAUUAAAUCUAUUUGAAUAUAAUUGAUAAUACUUAUAUUUAAUGGAAAAUGCUGGUCUUUAUCUGUCUAAACUCUUCAAUGCUUUCAAGCUCUAUAGUAACAGAGCAGCAUGAUAUACUAAGCUGAAGGUUUAAAGGAUGUAUUGAAUAAUGGCAAAGCACGAUAUACCAACGGGUCUAAGUUUAAUGUACAGAAUAGUGGUAAUGUAUAUAAUUGCAGAAUUUUUUUUGUUUUUGGAUUUUGGUUCUUUGUUUAUUUCAUUUUGUGUUACUUGCUGUUUUGAUCUUUUUGUGUUGAUUCUAUUCCCCUGUGAUAUGUUAUGUCUAAUAACAUAAACAUAUAAUGUUGGGUUUUUUGUUUUGGUACCCUUCAUUGGCAUUCUAUAUGGUUUGGGCUCCUUUAAGAAGAAGGGACAAAAGCAAAUAAGGUGUAUGAUCUGAUGUGUUUUCACAAGAUAACGUGUUAAUUGAAAGUUUAAUAAGCUGUGAUGUUUUGAUUCCGUAUAAGAUUUGAAUAUUGUACUUUGUUUCUAAAACUUCCAAUAAACAAGAGAAAAUAAUCACAAACCCCAAAAUUUUCCUGUCAAAGUCUAUACUAAAAUUGAUCCAAAAUAAAUACAAUGGUGUCAAAGAAAGACAACGAACAAAAAUAAAUACGUUUAAGGGAUAAAAAAUAUAACCAAGUUUAAUUUAUCAUUUUUGGAUAUAACAAAAUAGUAAAUUAUUCUAAAUUUUUUAGAAUUUAAUAUUUCUUUAAACUUUUUAUUUAUAUAAUAUAAUUUGUCGUACAGUAUUUUUAAUUUUAUAUAAAAAUAAAUUAUGCUCUAAAUUUUUUAUUUUUUUUCCUUUCAAAUGAACACAUGAAAAAAAAAGUGUAUCACAACUUGAAAAUACAACUAAAAACUAGUAGAUUAGAAAACCCUUUUUCUCAGUUUGGUAAGGAUAAAAAUAAUAAUUUGAUAUUAAGUGUAAUCAAUUUUUUUUCUAACAUUCCAAGAAUGAGAAGUUAAUACAUCUUUACUUGAAAUCAUUUUCCUUUUUUUUUUAAAAAAAAAGUCAGUUAUUUUUAGGGGAAGUGAAUUAAAAUUACGUCUGAUUUCAUUUUAUUUUUUUAAGUUGUUGGAAAAUUAAAAAAAUAAAUGCAUGUACAUUAUUUUUUUAAAAAAAAAACAAACAAACAAACAGGGAUUCUUUUUUAUGAAAAAGUUACAAUAAACUGUCCUGUGUCUCCCUCUGAUAUUCUAAUGUUUUUGUUAAGAAUCAGAGCUUGUUUUCUCAAGAUUUCUUCACUCCUCUGAUUUUUUUCCCCCAUACCUUUUUCUUUUUGUCACAUUUUUUUGUUUCGCUCUCCAUUUUUAGAACCAUUUUUCAAAUUUUAGUCACUUCUGUAUACAAGGGGCUUAAUCAUUAUUUUAACAUGGAUUACAAGCUAUAUCACAGUAGAAAAUAUUUUAUAAAAUGGACAACCUAUUUUUUCUAUCUAAUCUAUAAACAGCACAAAGGAGUAUAGUUUAUGAUAACAUACUAUGUUCUAGUUUAACACAUAAAUCAAACAUGAAAAACUAAAGCACCCAGCAAACUUAGUCAAAAUGGAGAACCCCACGCAUAUAAUAGUGUCCAAAAUAUAAACAAUUAAUAGCAUGGGAUCGCAAAUACAAACCUAAAAUAAACUAUUAAAAAAUUCACCAUCAAAUAAUAAUUAUGGUUAUAUUAACAUUUCCGACUUCUAUUUGAAUUGGCAUUUUGAACAAAAACUUAGGUAGCUAUUACAGUUUGACAGCAAGACUUAUUGACAGAGUUCCAAAACAAGAAGUUUGUAGGUAUAGACAAAGAGGAAGAAAAUGGAAAAAAGAAAGGUAAAAGAAAAAAAAAAUGGAGCAAACUCAAUCGAAUAUUUCCCAAGUGGUGGAAGAUGGAAUAUGAUCAAAGGUCUCCCACUUGGUUGUGACUACAACAGGCUUUAUUCUGGCAUUAGAUACCUUAAGUUCAUCCAGGGUUUCUACACAUUUUUGCACUCUCUUUCCCUGAAAAAGCAAAUAGUAGAUUAUUCUCUGUGACUUACCAAUUCAACUUUUGCAUAGUCCAAACACUGUAGAUUUCCUGUCUAACAAUAUUUUCCACGGUAAAGGUACUCUAAAAUAAACAAAGCAACUUUUCCUUAAUUGUUUGCUUUCCUUACCUAAAGUAUUAUAGGAAGUGUUAAUGUUCUUUAAUCAUACUUUUAAUUUCACGUUGGUAUAUAAUAUACAAUUAUUAAAUAAAAUGCAUAUUAUCAAGAUAAGAUUGUAAAUAUGAUCAGAAAACGACAUAAUAGCAACCAUGAAGCUGCAUGUAAGUUUUGUCUUUAAUUUUAUGACAAGAUUAAAGAAAUGAUUAUGUUAUUUAAAGAUGUUUUUCACCCACAUGACCAUACCAUGAUAUUUAGACGAAUUACCAUUCAAAUGAAACCAAACAAACACCAAAACAAGUAUAGGUGAGAGAAAUUGGCACUAUAUUGAAAAUACCUGCAAAUGUUUCUGUGCAGAAGCAUCGCCUUCUGCAGUAAUGCUUUCUAAUUUGAUUGCUUGUCUCAUAAGCAUCUCGAUUAGUGUUGUAAUUUGAACUUCCGGUACUUUGACUCCGUUGGAAAUAGACUUUUCAAUGGCAGAGACCUACAUCAGAAAGAAAAUGUAUAUUGUAUGUUAUGUUCGGACAAAAUUUCGGGUGCUUACUACUUAUAUCAAGCAAUAUGUUUCAGAUACGGAUUCAAACUUAGGCGUGAAAGGAAUAGUAUUGUUGAAGCUGAUGGUUGUUUGAGUUUACGUUGAAGGAUAUAUCAUAUAAACAUUGAUGAAGUUAAUUGAGAUAGAGUUUAUGUCUAAAAUGUUCAUGAUUAUAACCUUAACAGCUAUAAAUAACACAUACGCAUAUAAAAAAAAUCAACCAAAAUCAACCAGUCACAUUUGGCUAAUUAUCAUUGAAAUACAUUUAUAAAAAAGAAAUGAAGUUUGAGACGCCACAUAAUAUAACUACACAAUAUGAUGUCAUAUUCACUCAAAUUGUAACACAGACUUGGUCCAUGUAGCACAGAGCUAAGAGGUUAGGUUACUAUUAUUAUUAUUACUGAUGGGGUUUGUAUGUUUGUGCAUUUCCUUCAGUAUGCUAAAAUACAGACCCAGGAUUCCAGUUACAGCUGUUUUGACAAAGACAAUUAAUGUAUCACUUUCAUCUUUUUUCUGAGCAAAAACAAUGUAUCACUCACUACUUAUGACACUAUCCCACCGGCUACCAAGGAAAACUGUCAUGCAAUACACUCAUUGACCCACCGUCAAUUCUACCUUAAUCAUUGACAGAGGACAAAAAUAAAAGAAAAGAAGGAGAAAAAUCGGAUGAUAAAUGAAUAGCGAUAUAGAUUAUUUGAUGAAAAAGAGAAAAAACUAUAAGAAAAUGAAGAUUUUAUUUUAAAAAAUAAAAUAAACAGAUAAUCAUGUGUUUUUACUUUUAAACAAAAUCCUUCUAUUCUAUACUAUACUUGGUAACACAAAUCAUGUUCGGUGUGUCUUCUUUAACUUUUCAAAAAAAAAAAAUUCAUUUUUUUAUGACAAGAUUUUUUAACCCAUCUCGAUUUCCAAAUUUUUCAUUCAUUUGCUACUUUUUUCUCUCUCUUGUUUUUUCAUCUCUCCCUUUUUCCUUCUCAUCCACACUGGACGGAAAAGAAUAGCCACCGACAUGCAUACACGGUAAUAAGAAUACAACCAUUUACUUUUAACAUUUUUACAGUAACUAUACAUUGAACUGUUGUGAAGUUAUUCGAAACAUUGAAUUGGUAGGAUGUGAAAAUGAUUCAGAUACCUGGUCUGCAAGCUGAUCAAGGUGGAGUGCAAUAGUGUUGAUUGCGCGAUGUGCGUUUUGGAUCUUAGCGUUGAUACGCAUCUGGAUGAAGCGUCGUUCGAUGCUGGAAGGGUCUUGGAUCAACACCACUUUUGAUCUGUCUUUCACUCCGCACGCGUCCAAAUACUCUCCGUUUUGUCGCUCUUUGCCUCUGUACACCACUUUCUGUUCAUCCACCUGUAACCCCGUUUCCCCACUCAGCACCUUCUUCACUUCCCCUGUCAUUUCAUUUCAUGUCACAUCAUUUUCACACUAUACCCUCCUCCCACUUCAAUUAUCAUCAAAUCAGACCCAUCUCCACAUGUUUCCUCUCAGACAUCCAAUAUUAUUAUAUUCUUUAAUUUUCGUUUGCAUUUUCUGAAUUAAUAAUUUAUUAAAAUUAUGCUUUUUAACAUAAAAGAAAUAAAUAAUGGUUGUAUUUAUUAUAGUAUAAAGGCAAAACACUCGUAUGUUCUUAAAAUCUUUUACACAAAUCCACGCAAUUAAAAAGAUCAAUUAUACUUAUUCUAAUUAAAUCUUUAAAUUUAAUUAUUUAAUGUUACUUUGAUUCUUCUGCGUUAAGUAAUAUUAUUUUUACGUUAUUCUUAAAAGACAAUCAAACUGUUUGAAAAUUAUAUUAACAUCGUGUUUUGCUUGUUCCCAACAUAAAAAUUUGAUAAUACACAAAGACUAAACUCUUCAUUCUAUAUCUUAAUUAGAAUUUUCAAAGAAAAUUGAGCAAAAAAACUAGCAGACAAUGCCAUGAUACGUGGGCACGUAGCAUCAGCACCACCGAUGGAUUCAUAAUUCUGCAUUGAAACAGCCACCUAACUCAAUUUCAACAACAUUACUCUUCGCAGUGGUAUUUUUCUCAUUGACUAGGCAGAGCAAAAUAAAAUUAACAAUGGAAGUUUAGAUCCAGAACUCGUCUUACCGAAAGUGGCCAUCGAACUGACGCAGAUCUCGUAACGGAGAGCACCGUAGGCGAUUCGAAGGCGCAAAUUGCGUGCUGGAGCAUCCGUUUGCACAGUCCUUUUCUGCACCAACAUUCCUCCGGGUCUCAUUUCCCACUCCGUCUCUUCUUCUCCCGCUGUCGUCGUCGUCGACGACGAAUUCUCUCUGGCGCUCGGUUUCUUCCUUAUCAUUUUGAACUCAGUUUUCCCGGGAAAAUGAAAUACAGUGGUGGUGAGUGUUUUUUCUAGGGAAAAUGUCUAACGCGUGACGAGCUGUAUUUGAAAAAACUGUGUAACCUUUGCCGACACACAAAUAGGUUGCAACUUUUGCUGGUGCCGAGAUUUUAUAUGGUAUCAGUCGAGGAGGGGGUAAACACAGAAUAUUGCGUCAUUUCUCACUAAUGCUAUUUAACUCAGAGCGUUAUUAUUACUUUAUUGUAAAUUUAAAAAAAAAAAAGGUAAUACUUAUAUACUACCAAUAAAUAAAUGUUAGCAUUGUUAUAUUUAAAUAUUCAGAUUUAAUUAACCUUUGGUCUCCGCAGUUUUAAAAGGAAACUUAAUUACGCGUUUAUCUUCCUAUCUUUUAAAUUAAGUCAGUUUAUCAUACAUUUAAUUAUCAUAAAGUUGCUGACAGAAGAAGACGCUGUUAUAUCUGACAUGAACAAUCGACGAUGAUGUACACGUUAAUAUGUUACCACUUCGUAUACUUCUGAAAAAUCUAAAAUUAAAAUACAUAAUUAACUUGUAAUUAAAAAACUAUGAAGAUAAGGUAGAUUUAAAAAGAGUAUUAUGAACAAUAUUUUCUUGUGAUCAUAUAAAAAUAUUUUAGAUUUUAGAAAAUAUAAAACCUGAGUCAUAAAAAUUGGAAGAGAGGAGACUAUGGAGUGUGGAGGGAAAUAAUGGUGGUGAUGCGAAGUAUGAGGGAGAAUGUUGGACCAAUGAGACGUAUGCCACGUGUAGGAGUGAGUUAGCUAGUGUGUAGUGACAGCUAAGCUUGCCGACAGUUGAAGGAACACGCGGAAUGAACAUGUUGCUUUUGCUUAAUGUUGAAAAGGGACACGUGGAUGGGUGGCGUUGGAUGAGGAUUUUUAAGUUCCUAUGAUUGCAGUUUGAGCGUUGUUGUGGUUGGUUUAUGAUUAAUAAUUUGGUUUUAUGUGGUUGGUUUGUGUUUGAUUAGUCUCUCGUUUUCAUAAGUAGGCAGCGAAAAUACCCAAAAAUGACAUUACUUAGGGUAUAAAUUAUGGUGGUUUUUUAAGAUAGAUGGAUAAGGUUUAACAACUUGCUGUUAAGUUAUAUUAAGAGUGAGGAUUGAAUUGCAAAAGUUGAUUAUGAUUAGGGAACUUGAACAUCCCUUUGACUAAAUCACGCUUACUUGCCAAAUGGAUCAUAGUUGUCACUGAUUAGGAUGGCUAGCUGCUGAUGUCAAAUAAUCAUAAUAAACCCUAAUAACUCAUCCAUUCAAUCAUCACUAUAUUAUUGACUUCAAAAUUCCAUAACUAAAUUAUUCACAAAUAACUUCAGGAAAGGUUGAAGAAGUUGAUGUAUAAUAAACAAAAAAUGCAAAGUUUUCACAAGAUUUACAAUUGUUUCGGUAGAUUUUUUAGGGACCGAGACACUAAUCUUUUUUUAAGUGUGGCUUUACCGUUUUUCGAUGCCUGAAUUAUUUGGAUAGUCUGUUUUCCUUCAGUCUGGAUCGCUCGCUUCUCUUUGGCCGCUCGAUGUUUUUUUUUAUGGAGGGGGGAAGUAUCUGCAAAAGGUACUCCGACGCUCAAGUUAGGAGCGAUUUGAUGAGCCUCAGUUCAUAAUUGAGUAUUUAGUGAUUUUGUUAUCACUGUAGAAUAUUUUCAGAGGAGUGGAGUGUGAGUAGAAUGUGAAUGGGGUAUGAUUAGAAGAUGAUUCGAAAGUACUGGCUUGUGGCUCUCAAACUGAUAUAAAUCCAACAAAAUAUAAACAGAAUAUAAAUAUCUUUAAUAAGAUAUUCUUGACUAUUUUAUAUUUUUAAUAAAGUAUAUCGUAACCGCUUGACCAUGAUAUCAUAAUGUCCAACAAUAUUUGCGUCCAAUUUUUUUUAUACAAGUUUUACAUCAAAGGUCAAAAAGCUUUGAUAACGAGUUUGAUUUAGUUUGGAGCUUUGGAUAUACAUGUUUCAAAUGUGAAAAAUAGUAAAAGUCAUUUAAAAAAGUUUCCACUUGAGUAUGAAUGUAGACAAAAUAAUAUAAUUUUUGAUAUUGACAGAGAAACUGUAUACUGUCCUUGAUUUUUAGUUUACAGGAGAGUCGUACGUAGGGCCAAAUUAAGGAACAGAAACAAAUUAUACAGCAAAAUUCAAACGUUUGAUGUUUUAAAAACAAUCAAUUAUGUCACCAAAAUUGACAGCUUGAUGCUACAAUGAAACAAAUUUAGUUUUCAACCACCUUAAUAAGUACCUUAACAAGUGUUAGUUAACUUGAUCCUCAUUUAAAUAUUCAUAACCAUACAAAAUUUCCCAGUGUCAGAAAAUCAAAACAACACUCUUCAUACGAAGGACUGUUCGUGGGUAGGUUCGGAAGGAUUAGGGCUAAAAGUCAAACAAUCCCAUCCAAACUUCAUACAGUAUUUGGUGCAGUUUCUUCUUGCACCUCCAUAAAUUUCUAUUUGCAUCUUCGUAUAAAUAAAAUUUUCAUUCUAUCAUUUUUUUUAAUGGUGCAAGAAAUAAAAAAAUAACUUCUAAAUUACGGAAUCUAAAACGUUUACAUAAUUUGAAAAUUACUUUGACUUUCGUGUUAUAUAAUCCAAAACGAUUUUUAAAAUUACUUCUGACAUUUUUAAGAAAAAUAAUUAUGUUUAGAUUGUACAAUCUAAUCUGAAAGGUUUUUUUUUUUUAAUUUUCAGAUUACACUAUCUAAAUCUGAAAGGGAUAAAAUGAGAAUUUUUUUUUUAUAUAUAUAAAAAUGCUGAAGGAAAGUUAUGGAAGUACAGCAUUUGGUAAUCCAUAGCUGACAGCUCUCACCUGGUUCUGCGGGUUUUCUUUGAUGUAACGGGUUAUGAAAAUGGAGGGUGUUUUGUUCUUUUUAUUAUUAAAUCAGUUUUCUCACCUUAAACUUUUAGUUUUUGCUUACCUUUAUAACAAUACUUAAAUAACAGUUGAAUGGGAUUCUAAUUUUUUAAUUAAAUCUUUUUUUUUUUAAAUUUUACUCGAUUAAGUUUUUUUUUAAUAUCGUUUAAAUAGUUAAAAUUGUCAUGUCAUCAUUUUAUUAAUAUUUUUUUUAAUUUUAAUUUUAAAAAAUAUUUUUUUCUUAAAUAUUUUUAAACGUUUAUUUAUUUUUUCAAUUUAAUCUCUAUAUUUAUCAUUUUUGUUUAAUUAAUUUAUAAUUUUCUAAAAUAAAAUAAUUUUAUUUUCUCUAAAUAGGUAUUAAAUUAAUUAUUAUAUAAAUAUUAUAUUGAUACUUUUAUUAAAAUUGAUAUUUUUAAUAGUUAAUAUCUAUAAAAUUACUUUUAAACCAACUCUAAUAAUUAUAUCAUAACAAUAUAAUUAGAGUUAGUUUAAAAAUGAUUUCAAAAAUAUUAAAAAAAAGUUUGAAAUGAUAGAUGUAUUAAAAAAUUUUCUCUUUAAAAGGUUAAAAACUUAGGUAUAUUAUUUUUAUCAAUUUGAUUACUUAUAUGAAAAUUUUAAUAAAAGUAUAUAUAUUCAAUGAAACAAGACAAUUGAAAAGUUUGAAAUGACAAUGAAAUAAUCUAAAAAAAAAGCAUUACAACAAAAUCAUUCCCAUAAUUACUUAACAAAUAAGUCACUUAAUUCACAUAAUUACUUAACAGAUAAGUUACUUAAAAGAUGUCAAUAAAUAAUACAAAGAGCAAAUAUUGUUUUAUUUAAAAAAUUAAAAAUGAAUAAAAAUAACAAAUUUAAAAACUGAAUUGAAAAACAAUCAUUUUUUUUCUAAAAAAUUAAAAGAAAAUUUAAAAAUUUAAAAAUUAACAAAAGUAAAAAAAAAAUACAGAUUAACACCUCGUAUACACUGCCCACAUGCCAUUAAUUAUCUAAACAAUAUUAAAAACUAAUAAUUAAAAAAUAAAACUAGAACUACGUUUGAAAAAAAAGUAAAGAAAUGUAUAAUACUUAUAUAUUUGUACGUCAUUUGGAAAAAAGAAUUAAUCAAAGUAUAAUAUUUAAAUAUUUGUACGGCAUUUUGGAAAAAAGAAUUAAUAGAAGUAUCAUAUUUUAUUUUAAUGAAAUAUCUAUCAUCAUCUCGUAUCUAAUUCCUAAAUUCUCAAUUUCAUCGUGACCAAUCCUUUUUCUACCUCCUCACCAUCUCCCAUCUCUCCUCUAUUUUCCAAUAUUAUUCUUUUCCCAUAUAAAUUGUUCAUAGUUUAACAACUUCUAUGAGAAUUUAUUUUGUAAGAAGAGGAAGGAUAGCUUGGAUUUGGUAACGAGGAGACCAAGGUUCCAACUGGAGUGAGUUUCAAUUAUUAUUUUUCUUUCAAUUGCAGAAUUGAAACCACGGUCAUAAAUAACAGAAUGCAUUUUCUUUUGUACGUUUGAAAAACGCAUUUUGGUUGGGUUCUAAAUUUUAUAAUCUGUGUUCAGUUGAGUCGGCAGUUCUGCUCACCAAUACGAUGAUAUAUCGGGGAACAAUCUUUUAUGAACCCACCUAUUCCAAUGUCCAAAAAUAGUAAACAUUUUGGACAAACCCUAACCUAUAUACCCUUGUUAAAGAAUUAACAAAAGUUUUUUAUGAGUAAUGAGAAACUACAGCACUGUUUCGCGUGUCGCUUACGUAUGAUUAACAAGACCAACAUUUUCAACUCGUUUUUCCUGUAAAGGCUUUUUAUUCAACUAUUGGGGGUGGGUUUUUUAUGACUAUUUUAAGAAAACGAAUCUGUUCAUAUUAUCACUUACCAGCCAAUGCCAGUAUCUUCAUCAAAAUCUCAAGAUAUUAAUAUCGUUCAUCUCGAAUUUCUACAGCAAAACUGAACCUUUUCCUUCAAUUCCAUCUACAUCUCCUCACUUGUCAACAUCCUGGGCGUAUAAUGUCAUACAAGCAUGUUUAAUAAGGAAAGCAGUAUUCAAAAACACGCUACAACGAGGCAGUUAGGUAGCUCGAAAAUCAAGAAAAAUACGUAAUUUUUGUAUUAGCAUCUCCCGAGUACCAAAAACGGGCUUCCCAGAGAUGAUCCAGUCCUUCUCCAGAAGAUUUGCUUUGGCACCAGCCGACAUUUCAUCUUGGAAUGCAGAGACUAUUUGGUAGAUCGAAGUCUUGAGAACGUCAGCUAUAGCAUAAGCUUUUGAAUUCACUGGGCCACUUCUUUUUUUACCAGCUGCAACAUCUACCCUUCCACUAUUCACAGUUGCCCAUUUGAUACCAGCAGGUCCCAGCAACUGAUUUGGGGGUUGCAGGUUUGUUUUUUUUCCCAUGAAAUUUUCAACAGCCAGAAGGCAGGAUAGAAGUGUUGAAACCACAGCAGCGUUACUCCCGGAAAGCUGAGCAACCCCAAACUUGUCUUCUUUACGUGAAGAGGCAGUCAGUGAAGCAACACUCCUUGAACACCAUGCAUAUAGCUGCAUUUAAGCAAACAAAUGCUUUUUAAUAUGUUAUCCACAAAUUCUGGAAAUCAAUAUAAUAUUAGGGUAUUAUAAUUAUCAUCAUGUUAAAACUGCAACUGGUAUGGGCUCGUAAUAGUUUUCAUACAACAGUAAUGCGCCUAAAAUAUUAUUGAAAAUAGGAAUAUUAGGUUAGUGUAUCAUACCACCAUAGACAUUUUAAGUUUUCCCUCAAUAUAAGGACCUACUUUAAUGUGCAAACUCCCAUUUUUAAGGCAGUAGUUUGAGUUUAAAACAAGAUGAAACUUCUGGGUGUUUGAUAAUCAGUGUUAUGUUACAACUUAAGAAGAGAGUUUAGAGUCUUUAAAUCAUGAUUUUUCUUUCAAUCUAAAUAUUUCUAUUUAUAACGAGGUACAUUUGUCACCAUACUCCUAGCAACUUUGCUUGUUUUGGUUCCAUAACCUAAAAAAUAAGUUUUUCCAACCAUAGUCCAUACCAAGGAAAAAAAAUGAACAUUAAACAGUGAAGCUGAAAGACAUUGUAGAAAUGCUAAUGCUAGGCCAUGAAAAAACUUCUAGUGAAGUUCAAUAUUCAGUGUAAACACAAAUGCCCAAAGUUUGCAGGUUAUACGGAGGGGAAAAACGGUUGGUUUUUAGCUUCAUAUAAACUAUAAAUAUAAUUAAGUUAUACAUGUACCUGGAAGUUGUACAGUUCUUCCACGUUCUUCAAAUCGGACCGUGCAUCCGUGGGGGACAACAGCUGAUUUGAUAAUUGAGUAGCUUUGUCAACAGAAUUUCCUGAGCCUUCACCUAAUUUAGUUGCAAGGUGUUCCAACGGCUUCAAGCACACAGCAACUACUCUUUUGUAAGUUUCACCGGUUUCUUCAAAAAACCCAGCACGCCUCCAAGUGUCAACAUUGUUCUCGCAAACCAUGCACAGAUCAAGAUGUGCAAGAUAUCUUAGAAGCGAUGUAGGAUUAGUCUCCUCCAAGGCUGAAAGGAGAUGCUCACUUGGAUUUGUUUCUGCUGCCGCCGAUCCUUUUGGAGGUGCAAAUAUGGACCUCUUAGUAUGCAAAACCUGUGUAGCAUAUUCAACCAAAACAUAAACUUCAGCAUUCGAUAACAACGAUGUCCUUCAAAAGGCUAGGGGAUAUAAAUGCUUAUAAAACACCUCAUACAAUUCAAAAUCCCUACUUGUCGUAUAUGUCUCUAACAGUUACACAGGCGACAUUAUACAGGUUUCAUUUUGGAUAGUUAAGAUAAAACUAUACUCAAAAUUGUUUUAACACGUCCUGAACAUUAUACAUAACAAGGUAAGUUGUACAAAACGAACCAAAAUCCAAUGUACACGAUAGAGAUCCCAAAUUCCAAAACAUGACAACAGGUUGAACAAGUUAGACACCAAGGCAAACAUAACAAUAAAACCUAAAACGGAAAAAAUGCAUGAGCAGACAGGAUCACUUUCUCCUGAGCAUAUCAACAAACAUGUAGAGGUCAUAAGUUCUAGAAAAACUCACCCAAUGCAAAUGAUGAGUCAACUCCCAGGAGAAAAAGAUAACAAAAGUGGCAGCAAGAGAGGAUAUCUGCUCCACGAAAAAUCUUGGGGUGGCGACCGCGUACUUAAACGGAUGCGGGAGAAGCUCCAACAAAACAGCGGAUAUAACGGAAGCAAGAAAGGAAAGCUUAAAAGCUUUUCGAGCAGCGGAAGGAACGCCCAUCUUGAAGCUGAAAAAGGGAGGACGCUGCUCCCACAAGAAGCAAGAUAUCAGUACGUAUAAAGAUUAUGAAUUUGUUAAUAACAGGAAAGAGAGUGAGAGACCUGGAUGAUGGGGAAGUGGAGGAGCCAUCGGCGCUGGAAAAGGUAAUGAGAAGCGAAAAGGGAGCCGGUGAGGAAGCCCCGGAGGACUGAUCGGGGGAGAGUGGAGGAGGUGAGGGCGGUGGCGGGGAGGGAGAGGGCGGCGGAGAAGGNNNNNNNNNNNNNNNNNNNNNNNNNNNNNNNNNNNNNAAGGAGAGGGUGGGGGAGAAGAGGAGGUUGGAGGAGAGGAAGACGAUGAAGGAGAAGAAAGGGUAGUGAGGUCGAGUGAAGGGAAAGCAGAGAAAAUGAAGGAAGACGAUAGCUGAUGAAAUGGAUUGCCAGAUCAAGAAACUCAUCAAUCGGUUCUUCACCACCAACUCCAACCUUCCUCUGCUCCCAGACAUCAUCCUUCACAAACAAUCACCUUUUUCUUUCUCUUCUUUUAUUCUCUCAAUGCUUCAAAUUCCACACUCUCUCACUCCCUCGCUCCCCUCUUCUUCCCUUUGCAGACUCUAUUUCUUUCAAGGGAGCAAAGACUCAGUCGUUUCUUAGGUCAGUUUAAAUUUUUGAAUUUUUUUUAACUAUAAUCUUUAGCUUACGCCCGGUUGCCCUUCUCAUUGGAUAAUAACUUUGUUAAAAUUCUAAUUAAUUUUAAGCUUUCAAUGGGUUGGGUUCCGCGGGCUCAAAUCAUACUCGGCCCAAACAAUACGUAAUCCACAACUGAAAUUGUAGUUAAAAUAUUAUAUUAUAUCAUGUAAUCACAAGUUCAUAUUUUUCUCAUAAUUUUUAAUAAUUUUAUCAUUUACACAACAUGUAUCAUUUAAAUAAAACCACAUAUCAAUUUAAUAUAUAAAGUAAUAUUCAUUUUACAUUUAUAAGAAACAUUCCUAUACAAUUUAUUAGAGAGACAGUAGAAAACAAAUGACAUUCUUUUCAUAAAUCCAGACUUCAAAAAUUACAUUAAAAAAUUAUUAUAUUUAAAAACAUAUUAAUAACCAAAAUGACCUAGAAAUAGAAUGAAUUAUGCUAUAAAAAUUUUACUAAGCACGUUCAAAAAAUGAGUGAUUGAUAAGAAAUAAUAUAUUUGAUUAUAAUUUAUCUUAUUUAAUUUUUUAUAAUUGAUUAUAUUUUAAAUAAUUGAUAUAUUCUUUUCUUAAUUAUUAUAAGUUGGUUAUAUAUAUUCUAUAUAUUAUAUGUUGAUUACGUUUUCAACAUCAAUAUAAAUUAAAUAAAACCCUAAAAUGAUGACACUUUUUAUUAAAUUUAUUUUCUACAUAAAAAAUACACGUGUUUAUAUUUUUUCAUGUGAAAAAAAAUAAAAAAAGCAUUAUUAUUAUUAUUAUUAAAAUUAUGAAAUUAAAUUUACUUUUUUUUAUAAUUUUAUUAUAAGUAUUUUUUAGUAUUUUUUAAUUUUUUAUCGUAAAUGAUUAUUUUAAUUAAAAAAAAACAAUCCAUUUUAAAAAACGAUAAAAAAUAGUUAUUUAAAAGAUAAAUAAUUAUCUUAAUUUGAAAAAAUAUUUAAAAAAUAAAAUUGAAAAUAACAUAAAUAAUUUUUUUAUAUAAUAGUAUAAAUUAAUCAGGAAAAGAUACACUUGAAAAUAUGCUAAUUCAAAUUAAUUUGUUACAUUUAAAUUGUAAAACCCCUGAAAUAGUUAGGGUUUCUGAAUUAUGAAGAUGGUAGCAAAAGAAUGCUCUCCUCAGUCACUCUGUUUCUUUUUCUCUGACGAAAUGGCAAUUAUCAUCUCCAAACGCCUCUUUACCCUCCGCGUCUGUUAUUCCCUAAUUCCAUUCACGCGGCCACAAACUUCUCUCCCCCUCACGCGCCUCCUACUCCACGCGCGCCCGUCCUCCACCCAGCCAUCGAGAACCCCAUCGGAGAAACAAUUCGAGACGUGGGUGCAGGCCCUGAAACCGGGCUUCACCCCCUUCGACGUUGCCGAGGCCCUGCAGGCCCAAUCAGACCCGGACCUGGCCCUCGAUAUCUUCCGCUGGACCGCGCAGCAGCGCAACUACAAGCACACUAGCCAAACCUACCUCCUCAUCAUCAAACAUCUAAUCGCCGGCCGCCGCUACCGCCACGCCGAAACCCUGAUAGAGGAGGUCAUUGCCGGCGCCUGCCACGACGUCUCCGUCCCUCUCUACAACUCUAUCAUUCGAUUCUGCUGCGGUCGCAAAUUCCUCUUCAAUCGCGCCUUCGAUGUCUACAAGAAGAUGCUUAAUUCCAACGAUUGUAAACCUGACCUCGAAACCUAUUCCCUUUUGUUCAACUCGCUGCUUCGGAGGUUCAAUAAGUUGCAUGUUUGUUACGUGUAUCUGCACGCAGUUAGGUCUUUGACUAAGCAAAUGAAGGCUUCUGGUGUUAUUCCUGAUACCUUUGUAUUGAACAUGAUCAUCAAGGCUUAUGCCAUGUGCUUGGAGGUGGAUGAGGCGGUUCGGGUUUUUCGCGAAAUGGGGUUGUAUGGCUGUGAGCCUAACGCUUAUAGUUAUGGCUACCUUGCCAAGGGGUUGUGUGAGAAAGGGAGGGUGAGUCAGGGUUUGGAGUUUUAUAGGGAGAUGAGAGUGAAGGGUCUUGUGCCUAGUACUAGUACUUACGUUAUAAUUGUGUGUAGUCUUGCGAUGGAGCGAAGGUUUGAGGAUGCCAUUGAGGUUGUGUUUGAUAUGUUGGGGCAGUCUAGGUCCCCUGAUCAUCUCACUUACAAGACUGUUUUGGAAGGGUUGUGUCGUGAGGGAAGGGUCGAUGAUGCUUUUGAACUGCUUGAUGAAUGGAAGAAGAGGGAUGCUUCCAUGGGUGAGAAGAUGUACGUAAGUUUGUUGGACGGGUUGCAUUUUUCGUGCCGGGAGUAGGUUUUUUGCUAAUGCCUUUGCUUGAGGUAGCAUAAGAUGCAUAUAACGCUGCUUUUGUUGGAGUAUAACUUGUUAAUCUCCUGCUCUUAUGAGGAAGCUGAUUCUUUUGAAUGAGUGCUAAUGCAGAUAAAUAAUUGUAUUUGCUUGGAGAAUUGCUCUCAACAUCUUUUGGACUAAUUUAAUUUGCAAAGUGAAUGGAGGGGGCACCUAAGUAGGUGUUAGUUCUAUAAACACUGAUAUUGAUGAUAAGGUGGCGCAAGCUUCUUUUAUGAUAAAAUGUUGCUUCUGAGCACGCUGAAUGGACUAGACCACAGCAUCGUAAAUCCCGAUGUUCAAUUUCACCCAAUGUUGUUAUGCAACCAUGCAGAAGUUGCUCGUGGGUAGUUUGCCGUAGCGGAUGAGUAUCUUAUGGUAUUGUGCAAAAAAACCAAAGCUACCUGAUAUUCAUCUGAUUGUUCUUUGUUGUUAACUUCUUGCCCUUAGUUCAUUAUUUUGUUUUCUCCAAUAAUUAAUCUUCAAUAGAUGUUAGCUAAAAGUACUACAGUUGCUAGCAUUUGUUUGUAUUAGUUACAGAUAUUUAUUUUUUUAGUCCUAAUUCUCCAUAGCAACCCUACUGGUCUUGAUGGCAUAAGGGAGGAAAUUAUAUUGAUCUUCUGUAUUAAAUUGAACAACUCAAUUAUUAAAUUCAUAAGAAUACAUGUUCUUGUAUUUCUAAUUGUUGGUGGAUUAGUUAGUUUCAUACCUUAUUAGUAAUAGUCAGUAGCAGCACCCAAGAUCAUGGUGCAAGAUUUUUAUUCAGUAAUUUUAGUGUAUUUCAUGAAUCGGAUUCAAUAAAAUUGAUACUCGCAUGUGUAAUUCAAUAAUUUUUUUGCUGUUUCCUUGCUCAAUUGUUUUUCUUUUUAUCAUUAAGCAAAAUUCAAUAAAUGGUAUUGAAGACCUCUUCUCGAGGAACAUUUGAAAAUGAACGUUGAAUCAAAUUUCUCACAAAUUGAUCCUCUACUCUUUGAUAUUUGAUCUUGAUCUUUGAGCACUAUCUCUGGUUUUUUAUUUUAGUAUAUUACAUUUAUAUAAUUGAAUAAACAAAUCAGGUAACUUAUGUGUUAACGAGAAGGAUAUAUGACAUUAUUUUGCUUAAAUUAAAAGACGUUUGUGUAGGGUGGACAAAAAACAGAAGCAGAAAGGUAGACUCUAGUGAAUUUUUGCCAAUUCUCAGAUUGAAUGUAAGUUGUCAAAACUCUUAACUCACACAUCAUUAUUCGUAGCAGUAUCUCCUCCGUCAAUUGUCUUUUACACUUUAUUAAUUACAAACUAUACUCUACUGAACCGGCUGCUUGUUUAUAGCAGUAUAACUGCUUUGCUUAAGCAGGAAUAAAACAUGAAUAGAACCUAAAAUAAGAAAGCAUACUUAUAAGUGAUGUCAUAAUCCAUAAUAUGAAUUCGGUCAUGGUUUAAAUCUACCCCUUGUAUCCCUGAAAACCCCAAUACAUCCUCCUACCACGUGCUAUUUUUAAAUACAAUAUUCCACAUGGUCGAUUUGUGACGAAGUAAAAAGACAUAUCAGUUCUCAGUACCGAAAUCUAUGAAUUGCAUACUGAACACCAUAACACUUAUCCGCAAGUAAUACAAGUUGAACAAACACAUCAUAACAUUGCACGGAAAUAUUACCAGUCCAUCCAACAAUUUCUAAACAAUCACAUUCACAACAGUUAACACUCAACAUCGUGGUUCCUAAGACGUAUUAUGAACAAUGAAUAUCUGAAGGUAUCCCUACAAGACUAAAACUAACACGUAAAAAGCAGUUGAAAUUCAGAUAAUUACA
rnacentral:lncRNA from 1 species